rnacentral:rRNA from 1 species
UGGCGGACGGGUGAGUAACGCGUGGGUAACCUGCCUCAUACAGGGGGAUAACAGUUAGAAAUGACUGCUAAUACCGCAUAAGACCACAGCACCGCAUGGUGUAGGGGUAAAAACUCCGGUGGUAUGAGAUGGACCCGCGUCUGAUUAGGUAGUUGGUGGGGUAACGGCCUACCAAGCCGACGAUCAGUAGCCGACCUGAGAGGGUGACCGGCCACAUUGGGACUGAGACACGGCCCAA